rnacentral:rRNA from 1 species
CGAUACUUGGUGUGAAUUGCAGAAUUCAGUGAAUCAUCGAAUCUUUGAACGCACAUUGCGCCCGCCAGUAUUCUGGCGGGCAUGCCUGUUCGAGCGUCAUUUCAACCAUCAAGCCCCGGGCUUGUGUUGGGGACCUGCGGCUGCCGCAGGCCCUGAAAUGCAGUGGCGGGCUCGCUGUCACACCGAGCGUAGUAGCAUUAUCUCGCUCUGGGCGUGCUGCGUGUCCCGGCCGUAAAACGACCUUACACCCAAGGUUGACCUCGGAUCAGGUAGGAAGACCCGCUGAACUUAAGCAUAUCAAUAAGCGGAGGAA